rnacentral:rRNA from 1 species
AGUGAACGCUGGCGGUAGGCCUAACACAUGCAAGUCGAACGGCAGCACAGUAAGAGCUUGCUCUUACGGGUGGCGAGUGGCGGACGGGUGAGGAAUACAUCGGAAUCUACUUUUUCGUGGGGGAUAACGUAGGGAAACUUACGCUAAUACCGCAUACGACCUACGGGUGAAAGCAGGGGAUCUUCGGACCUUGCGCGAUUGAAUGAGCCGAUGUCGGAUUAGCUAGUUGGCGGGGUAAAGGCCCACCAAGGCGACGAUCCGUAGCUGGUCUGAGAGGAUGAUCAGCCACACUGGAACUGAGGCACGGUCCAGACUCCUACGGGAGGCAGCAGUGGGGAAUAUUGGACAAUGGGCGCAAGCCUGAUACAGCCAUACCGCGUGGGUGAAGAAGGCCUUCGGGUUGUAAAGCCCUUUUGUUGGGAAAGAAAAGCAGCAGGUUAAUACCCCGCUGUUCUGACGGUACCCAAAGAAUAAGCACCGGCUAACUUCGUG